GGCGGACGGGUGAGUAACACGUGGAUAACCUACCUAUAAGACUGGGAUAACUUCGGGAAACCGGAGCUAAUACCGGAUAAUAUAUUGAACCGCCUGGUUCAAUAGUGAAAGACGGUUUUGCUGUCACUUAUAGAUGGAUCCGCGCCGCAUUAGCUAGUUGGUAAGGUAACGGCUUACCAAGGCAACGAUGCGUAGCCGACCUGAGAGGGUGAUCGGCCACACUGGAACUGAGACACGGUCCAG
rnacentral:rRNA from 1 species